rnacentral:misc_RNA from 1 species
UCCUGUGUUAUUUGCCUAACGUGACAGAAAUUGAUCCCGGAUGAGUCAUACUUUUCGCCUCUUACCAAUUCGUGGUGUUAAGUCAACGUGAAGUACUGCCCAUUGUCCUUGAAUGCUUUGCCCUUUCGCAUUGCAAUCAUGGCCCGUGGGUUGCUAUUAGUUCCCUCGGAUGCAAAACUUUUGAAGGGUGCAUAGCAUGUUGCUAUUGUUUACCCAUAAAACAUUUUUAGCUCGAUGCGUAUGACAGUUGUGCCUGCCUUGGUCCCGUCUUUAACUAGUUUGGACGGGUCUUAUGUGGUGUUGACAUCACAGAGGAGUACUACCUGGUUGAUUUUGCCAGUAGUGAUAUUCUUGUCUUAA